AGUGAAGACGUGUGGCUGUGCCUCUGGUUCCAUUCCUCUCCCCUUUCUCUAAUUAUGAGAGUGAGACACAGGCUGGGUGGAUCCAGUGGGAAGAAACUCUGGUUUUGCAAGGUGCCUAGCAUGGCUGGAGGGAUCUUUCCCCAGUCUCAGACCUUACGGGUGGGAGGCCCUAGAAGGUUGCCUGUCCCUUGGUGGGACAAGAGGUCUCUCUAGACACCACCCACAGUGCUACAGGUGCUUCAGAACAAGGCAUUUCAGGCUGGGAAAGAUCUGAGGAACGUUGUGCUCUUUCCUUGCUGGGAGACAGGUGCUGAAUUUCAGGGAGGAGUGACAGACCAUUCUCACCCCAACCCCUUUGGUCUCCCCGCCCCACAUCCAUCAUCUCACCAGGAGAUGCCAACCACUACAGAGUGUUGUUGAUUAAUGUGGUUGCCAUUCCUUCUCCAUGUGUGAGACCCUGUGUGCAGUUGUCCUUCAAGAAAAUUCUGCCCUGAAUAUUUUGGCCUUUCCUUCUUGUAUUGCUUUGCUUGUCAUUCCAGGUGAGUCAAGAUCAGAAGCUCUACAAGUGUGGUUUAUUCCCUAUGUGUGUGGCAAACAAACAAAAAGCCUCCAGAAAUGUGUAGCCCGGCAUCUUACUAAAGGACAGAAGGGUCUUUCAGGAAAUAUGUCUGAUUUCAUGCCCUCCCGCUGGCUCUCCAGUGAUUAUGAAGGAAACAAGGAGAUAGUCCUUGAUGUCUAUCUGAACAAGAACAGGGAUCAGGAGGAACUGCGCUUCAGAAACCUGGAAGAGAUUUUUAAUUAUCUGAAUGAGCUAGAUGAAGAGACAUGGGACCUUCACCUCGAAGGCCAUUCUAAGUCAGCACCAG